rnacentral:rRNA from 1 species
AUCGUAACUCCUACGGGAGGCAGCAGCCGCGGUAAUACGUAGGGUGCAAGCGUUAAUCGGAAUUACUGGGCGUAAAGCGUGCGCAGGCGGUUGUGUAAGUCAGAUGUGAAAUCCCCGGGCUCAACCUGGGAAUUGCAUUUGAGACUGCACGGCUAGAGUGUGUCAGAGGGGGGUAGAAUUCCACGUGUAGCAGUGAAAUGCGUAGAUAUGUGGAGGAAUACCGAUGGCGAAGGCAGCCCCCUGGGAUAACACUGACGCUCAUGCACGAAAGCGUGGGGAGCAAACAGGAUUAGAAACCCUAGUAGUCCUAGAGC